UUGAAAGGGAAACGAUUGAAGUCAGUCGUACCGACGAGAAAUCAGCUUAUCGUGUGCGAACUUGUGGGCGUGCGUGAGUUUCGGCCUCGUUGUUUGCAUGUUUGUGCGCUUUGGGUGUACUUUUUCGUAUGGUUGGCCAACAUCAGUUUCGAUUACUAUAAAAUGACUGGCGGAAUGUAGCUUCGAUUUCGGUUGAAGUGUUAUAGCCUCUGGUAGAUGUGGUGAUUGAGACUGAGGAUUGCAACGAAUAUCCUUUGGGCUAUCCGUCUGGCCUCUGAAAGUUGCUUGGGUGCUGAAAGCUUGCUUAUGGUUAUCUAAGUUAACGGUCAAUAGGUUAGAACGUGAUUACAUUCGUUAAGGAUGUUGACGUA
rnacentral:rRNA from 1 species